UGUAAUUUUAAAAAAAAAUUCUUUUAUGGUCUUUUUUCUAGAUUUUGAGAUCUGUGUGGUGGAAGAUGAAGCACCAUCCUCAGUAACAAUCCCUCUCGUCCGCCCAACAUCAUCAGUGUCCCCAGAUUCCACAAUUAUUCUGAAAAGUUCUAAGAACCGUAAGAACGAACUUGGAGAGCUUGGUCAUGAGGAAGCAAAACAGAAGGUGCACACUGCCCUGGGGUCAAACCCAGAGGGUGAGGAAAUCAUGAGUGAAUACAACAAAACUAAAACACUGUCAGAUGCAACUCGUCAACAAAUGGUCAACAUGCUGGUUGCAGAUAUGAUAGAAUAACACGGGAGGAUCCCACCUGUAAGUGUUCGGACUUGCUAUGCACUGGGGAUCGUAACGUUUUCCAUAUCUCCAAGAUCCGUACUCAAAAAAUGGCUAUGUAAGUGUUAAUAUCUAUGAAACCUGAUGUCUCUGUUAUUGAUGGAUGAUGAAAGAUAGUUGAAAAUGUCUUCCUUUGUUCCAUUUUUUUAUUGCGUAUGGUUUUUGUUGGAUUGUGUGUGUGGCUGAUGUACAUC